UUGGCACCCUAUUCCUUAUAUAGUGCACUGCUUUGGCACCCUAUUCCUUAUAUAGUGCACUGCUUUGGCACCCUAUUCCUUAUAUAGUGCACUGCUUUGGCACCCUCUUCCCUAUAUAGUGCACUGCUUUUGACCAGGGCCCAUAUUUCAGGAUUCAGAUAUUAUAUGCUCACUUUAUACUCUAGAGAGCAGCCUGCCGGUAGUGAGACACAGUAUCUAUAAUAUCACCCUAAAGCCAAACUAAACUGAAGUAUUGAAAGACAUCUUCCAUGCUCAACAGACCGGGCUGGCUUCUUUGUGUUUUGUGACGUGUGCUAAAGAUUAGCCUGCGCCGCCAACGGUCCACCCUGGCCAUCAGAGUUUUGAUCAGAGAGAGAAGGAAAGCAGGGGGAGAAGAAAAUAGAGACAACGCUAAGUCGGCAUAAAGCAGAGACAAGGUCCAGACAAAGUAGCAGUUACUUUCAUAGGAGCUACACCGUAACACUGAUGUAGGUCUGAUAAACAACAAGCUCCUCUCCUCUCCAAUGAGGAACUACACCAUAACACUGAUCUACAGUGAGGGGAAAAAGUAUUUAAUCGCCUGAUGAUUUUGUACGUUUGUCCACUGACAAAGAAAUGAUCAGUCUAUUAUUUUAAUGGUAGGUUUAUUUGAACAGUGAGAGACAGAAUAACAAUCAAAAAAUCCAGAAAAACACAUGUCAAAAAUGUUAUAAAUUGAUUUGCUUUUAUAAACCUACCAUUAAAAUUAUAGAUUGAUCAUUUAUUUGUCAGUGGGCAAACGUACAAAAUCAUCAGGGGAUAAAAUACUUUUUUCCCUCACUGUACACCAUAACAGUGAUCUAGGUCUGAUAAACAACAAGCUCCUCUCCUCUCCAACUAGGAACUACACCAUAACACUGAUCUACAGUGGGGGGAAAAGUAUUUAAUCGCCGGCUGAUUUUGUACGUUUGUCCACUGACAAAGAAAUGAUCAGUCUAUCAUUUUAAUGGUAGGUUUAUUUGAACAGUGAGAGACAGAAUAACAAUAAAAAAAUCCUGAAAAACGCAUGUCAAAAAUGUUAUAAAAUGAUUUGCAUUUUAAUGAGGGAAAUAAAUAUUUGAUCCCUCUGCAAAACAUGACUUAGUACUUAGUGGCAAAACCCUUGUUGGCAAUCACAGAGGUCAGACAUUUCUUGUAGUUGGCCACCAGGUUUGCACACAUCUCAGGAGGGAUUUUGUCCCACUCCUCUUUGCAGAUCUUCUCCAAGUCAUUAAGGUUUCGAGGCUGAUGUUUGGCAACUCGAACCUUCAGCUCCCUCCACAGAUGUUCUAUGGGAUUAAGGUCUGGAGACUGGCUAGGCCACUCCAGGACCUUAAUGUGCUUCUUCUUGAGCCACUCCUUUGUUGCCUUGGCCAUGAGUUUUGGGUCAUUGUCAUGCAGGAAUACCCAUCCACGACCCAUUUUCAAUGCCCUAGCUGAGGGAAGGAGGUUCUCACCCAAGAUUUGACGGUACAUGGCCCCGUCCAUCGUCCCUUUGAUGCGGUGAAGUUGUCCUGUCCCCUUAGCAGAAAAACACCCCCUUAGCAUAAUGUUUCCACCUCCAUGUUUGACGGUGGGGAUGGUGUUCUUGGGGUCAUAGGCAGCAUUCCUCCUCCUCCAAACACAGCGAGUUGAGUUGAUGCCAAAGAGCUCCAUUUGUGUCUCAUCUGACCACAACACUUUCACCCAGUUGUCCUCUGAAUCAUUCAGAUGUUCAUUGGCAAACUUCAGACGGGCAUGUAUAUGUGCUUUCUUGAGCAGGAGGACCUUGCGGGCGCUGCAGGAUUUCAGUCCUUCACGGCAUAGUGUGUAACCAAUUGUUUUCUUGGUGACUAUGGUCCCAGCUGCCUUGAGAUCAUUGACAAGAUCCUCCCGUGUAGUUCUGGGCUGAUUCCUCACCGUUCUCAUGAUCAUUGCAACUCCACGAGGUGAGAUCUUGCAUGGAGCCCCAGGCCGAG
rnacentral:lncRNA from 1 species